rnacentral:rRNA from 1 species
AGAGUUUGAUCCUGGCUCAGGAUAAACGCUGGCGGCGUGCCUAACACAUGCAAGUCGAACGCGCACGGAGCAAUUCGUGUGAGUGGCGGACGGGUGAGUAACACGUGGGUACCUGCCCUCUGGUGAGGAAUACCGGCGAGAAAUCGCCGACAAUACCGCAUAGGUUUGCCUAACGCAAACAAAGCCUUGUAAGAGGCGCCAGAGGAAGGGCCUGCGGCCGAUUAGCUGGUUGGUGGGGUAAAAGCCUACCAAGGCGACGAUCGGUAGCUGGUCUGAGAGGAUGGUCAGCCACACUGGGAUUGAGAACGGCCCAGACUCCUACGGGGGGCAGCAGUGAGGAAUUUUCGUCAAUGGGGGCAACCCUGAACGAGCAACGCCGCGUGCAGGAAGAAGGUUUUCGGAUCGUAAACUGCUUUUCUGUGGGACGAGAACGGACGGUACCACAGGAAUCAGCCCCGGCUAACUACGUGCCAGCAGCCGCGGUAAUACGUAGGGGGCAAGCGUUGUCCGGAGUUACUGGGCGUAAAGCGCACGCAGGCGGUCUGCCAAGUUCGGAGUGACAGUUUCCGGCUUAACUGGGAAAGGUCUUCGAAAACUGGUGGACUUGAGACCUUGAGGGGGAGACGGAAUUCCGGGUGGAGCGGUGAAAUGCGUAGAGAUCCGGAGGAACACCGAAGGCGAAGGCAGUCUCCUGGCAAGGUUCUGACGCUCAGGUGCGAAAGCUAGGGGAGCGAACAGGAUUAGAUACCCUGGUAGUCCUAGCCGUAAACGAUGACCACUAGGCGUGGGGGGGAUCGACCCCUUCCGUGCCGGAGCUUACGCAUUAAGUGGUCCGCCUGGGGAGUACGGUCGCAAGAUUAAAACUCAAAGGAAUUGACGGGGACCCGCACAAGCAGCGGAGCGUGUGGUUUAAUUCGAUGCAACGCGAAGAACCUUACCAGGGUUUGACAUGCAACUGCAGCACCCGUCAUGGGGUGUCCCUUCGGGGCGGUUGCACAGGCGCUGCAUGGCUGUCGUCAGCUCGUGUCGUGAGAUGUUGGGUUCAGUCCCGCAACGAGCGCAACCCCUGCCGCUAGUUGAAUAGUCUAGCGGGACCGCCGCGAUCAACGCGGAGGAAGGCGGGGAUGACGUCAAGUCAGCACGGCCCUUACAUCCUGGGCAACACACACGCUACAAUGGUCGGUACAACGGGCCGCCAACCCGCGAGGGGGAGCCAAUCCCAUCAAAACCGGCCUCAGUUCAGAUUGCAGGCUGCAACUCGCCUGCAUGAAGGAGGAGUUGCUAGUAACCGUGGGUCAGCACACUACGGUGAAUACGUUCCCGGGUCUUGUACACACCGCCCGUCACACCACGAAAGUCGGCAACACCUGAAGCCGCUGAGCCAACCGCAAGGGAGCAGGCGUCGAGGGUGGGGUCGGUGAUUGGGGUGAAGUCGUAACAAGGUAACC